rnacentral:rRNA from 1 species
AGUGAACGCUGGCGGUAGGCCUAACACAUGCAAGUCGAACGGCAGCACAGUAAGAGCUUGCUCUUACGGGUGGCGAGUGGCGGACGGGUGAGGCAUACAUCGGAAUCUACUUUUUCUUGGGGGAUAACGUAGGGCAACUUACGCUACUACCUCAUACGACCUACGGGUGAGAGCAGGAGUUCUUCGGACCUUUCGCGAUUGUAUGAGCCGAUGUCGGAUUAGCUAGUUGGCGAGGUAAAGGCCCACCAAGGCGACGAUGCGUAGCUUAUCUGAGAGGAUGAUCAGCCACACUGGAACUGAGACACGGUCCAGACUCCUACGGGAGGCAGCAGUGGGGAAUAUUGGACAAUGGGCGAAAGCCUGACCCAGCAAUGCCGCGUGAGUGAAGAAGGCCUUCGGGUCGUAAAGCCCUGUUGUUGGGAAAGAAAAGCUGCAGGUGAAUACACGGCCGUCCUGACGGUACCCAAAGAAAAAGCACCGGCUAACUUCGUG